rnacentral:rRNA from 1 species
GGCGUCGAGCGGCGGACGGGUGAGUAAUGCCUAGGAAAUUGCCCUGAUGUGGGGGAUAACCAUUGGAAACGAUGGCUAAUACCGCAUGAUGCCUACGGGCCAAAGAGGGGGACCUUCGGGCCUCUCGCGUCAGGAUAUGCCUAGGUGGGAUUAGCUAGUUGGUGAGGUAAGGGCUCACCAAGGCGACGAUCCCUAGCUGGUCUGAGAGGAUGAUCAGCCACACUGGAACUGAGACACGGUCCAGACUCCUACGGGAGGCAGCAGUGGGGAAUAUUGCACAAUGGGCGCAAGCCUGAUGCAGCCAUGCCGCGUGUGUGAAGAAGGCCUUCGGGUUGUAAAGCACUUUCAGUCGUGAGGAAGGUAGUGUAGUUAAUAGCUGCAUUAUUUGACGUUAGCGACAGAAGAAGCACCGGCUAACUCCGUGCCAGCAGCCGCGGUAAUACGGAGGGUGCGAGCGUUAAUCGGAAUUACUGGGCGUAAAGCGCAUGCAGGUGGUUUGUUAAGUCAGAUGUGAAAGCCCGGGGCUCAACCUCGGAAUUGCAUUUGAAACUGGCAGACUAGAGUACUGUAGAGGGGGGUAGAAUUUCAGGUGUAGCGGUGAAAUGCGUAGAGAUCUGAAGGAAUACCGGUGGCGAAGGCGGCCCCCUGGACAGAUACUGACACUCAGAUGCGAAAGCGUGGGGAGCAAACAGGAUUAGAUACCCUGGUAGUCCACGCCGUAAACGAUGUCUACUUGGAGGUUGUGGCCUUGAGCCGUGGCUUUCGGAGCUAACGCGUUAAGUAGACCGCCUGGGGAGUACGGUCGCAAGAUUAAAACUCAAAUGAAUUGACGGGGGCCCGCACAAGCGGUGGAGCAUGUGGUUUAAUUCGAUGCAACGCGAAGAACCUUACCUACUCUUGACAUCCAGAGAACUUU